AUCUAAAUAUUUUAAGUAAAAAUAUAAAUUUGUGGAAUUUAAGAUAUGGGAGCAUUUUAGAUA
rnacentral:tRNA from 1 species